rnacentral:misc_RNA from 1 species
GAUGAAGAACGUAGCGAAAUGCGAUAAGUAAUGUGAAUUGCAGAAUUCAGUGAAUCAUCGAAUCUUUGAACGCACCUUGCGCUCCUUGGCAUUCCGAGGAGCAUGCCUGUUUGAGUGUCAUUAAAUUCUCAAGACCUGUCUGCUUUUUUGAUAGGUAUUGGAUUUUGGGGGUUGCAGGCUGUUUCAAAUAAAUAGCCUUGCUCUCCUUGAAUGUAUUAGUGGAGAAAAGCCAUUGAACUCCAUUGGUGUGAUAAAACCUAUCAAUGCCAGGAGCAAUAUCACUACUUCUCUCUGCUGUCUAACUGUGACUGUCUGUAUUAAUUAGUAUGGAUGGGGACAACUUGACCAACUUGACCUCAAAUCAGGUAGGACUACCCGCUGAACUUAAGCAUAUCAAUAAGCGGAGGA